AAUGGACCUUUAUUAUUCUAUAAUUCAAUUUCAUCUCUCUUUUGAGCCUACAGUCGAACUGACGGCAGAAACCAGGUUAAUUCAGGUUAACUCCAUCAGUUCAGUUUAUUUUCAGUCAAUUCAGGAUUUUUUUCAGUCGAGUGAGGAUUUGUGUCCUGCCUGUGUUGCCAUUGGGUUGAGCUUAGAUCUGAGGGCCUUGAUGCUGGGUGUCCUUGGUUGUCGUCUGUCCCUUCUGUCUUCCACUGAGGUGGUCACAGCUCCAGAUGGUCCACAGACACUGACGUCCUCCAUUGUUGGCAUCCUCUGGGAUGCCUGUGUUCCCCUCUGUUUUUGGACCCUUCAGUCUGUGCUGCCAUCUGCUGCCACAUUCCCUCAUCCCAAGGUGAGGAGGCCCCCUUGCUCAGCAAACUUCUGCAUCUUCGGGAGCCUGCAGGCGUGUAGGUAUUCCACACUCCUGACAGAAAAUGUCAGCUGUUCCCUGCAGCACUUGGAGGCCUGGGCCCUAUAGGUUUCCCCUGUGGUCCAUCCCCACGGCGAUUUCUCCUCUCUGGUUCUUCCUGGUGACAUUGGGAGAUCUGCAGAGCUGCUGCCGUCCUGGCCUCCGAUGGGAAGCCGAGCUCAGGUCCUCCCUACUGUUGGGCCCCAGGUGCAUCUGCUGAGUCGAUGUCUCCCUGCCCACAGCUGGCUUGGGUCCGGGGUGGGUGGGGCACGGGCCCCUCACAGAACCCACUGGAGCAACUCACGGCAGGGCUCUCUUCCCUCACCCUCCCCUACGCCUUUCUCAGGUCAGCAGAAUCUCUCUCCUUCCUGGGCAGGAUAAAACGACCUCUUCAGCUCAUCCUGUAAUUGUCUGGGUCUGUUGUUUGUGGUAAAAAAUUUAUUCCACGAGUUGGUCAGGAACUUGUCUUUCGAGAUUCAACAAUCAGGCUUUUGAGUCAAAGCUUGUUCUCGCCAGCUACUGUCUCUGCUGUGAACUUCAAAAGCCUCUUUUGAAAAAGUUAUCACAGACCUUCUAUCAAAGAUCCAAAGCUUCUGGACAAGGCCGACCUCACCCACCACUGGAAUGUAUUACGGGAAGCCAGAUAUGAUGCAGCUGGGGCCUAUUUACUCACAGUGGCCAAGGUUAAAGCAGACGAGUGCCCCCCAGUGAGGAAGGAACACACUCUCAGGCACAGUGAGCAGUGAUGUUUCAGCCGUCCGUUUCGCCGGGAUGUAGAGUGGCCAAGAGUUACUCACUUAAUUCUGAUCAAUCCAACAGACGUCUCCUCCCUGCAACGCAAGCCAACACUUUCUGAAGACAGGAAAUUGGGAAAAGGGUUAAUUUGGAAGUGGCUUCUCUUUACCCUCUUGCUGUGGCUGUUUCCCAAGGGUCUGUCCUUAGCAUUUUCUCUCUCUGUACUUUCUCAUGGCUUCAACCACACCCCUAACAUAUUCCUUCUUUAUGUGAAUUUCCAGCCUCGAUCCCCUCUCGGAGUAUCAGGGUACGUGCCCCAUUUUCUGAGAAAUAGUAAUAGGAUUGCUCCAUGAACAGUUUUCCUGAGUGACCAGUUGAUAGUUCAAAUUAAAUAGAUUAUUAAAUUAAAUAGAUGCAAAACCUAAAUUAUUUCAGAUUCCCCUCAACCUUGUUCUUCUUUCUAUGUCCCCUCUAUCUACUGAUGGUGCCACUAACUCCCUCUGUCACUCAGUGCUGGAAAUGUGUAAUUACUGCUGAGAGUGGCCUCAAUCCAAAUUGGGAUAGCUUUUUGACUUUCGGCCUAUUGGCUUGGGUUUGGAUGGCACUUUGGUUAAUAUUUCUUCUCUUUGUUCUCCACAGCAGCCACUUGCCUGUCUCCCUCUUGCUUUCCUCCUAUAUUUCCUGACUUAUGAAACAGUAAUAACCUUCAUGUAUUCUUUCAAGAACUAGUGACUGCGCAUCUGCCUUGGGCCAUGGACUCCCUGGGCGCUGCUGACAUAGCAGUGAACUUGGCAAAUGGAAUCCCUGCCGUCAUGGGGUUUACCAUAUAAUGAUCAUAACAACAGAUUUUGAGCAUUUGUCGUGUGCCAGGCUCUAAGUUAAGUAUUUACAUGCAUUAUUUUGUUUAAUUCUCAUAAAAACUAUAAUACUAUUAAUAUCUUGGUUGACAUUAAGGAAACUGAGUCUCAGAGAAGGGAGGUAAGUUGCCCAAGAUCUCCCAGGGAGCUCGGCAUGGAUUUGGGCCACCGCUCCAUCCUUCUUGGUCCUUAAACAUUUAGCCUCUGUUUGUUCUGAUUGCCAUGUAUGAUCUGUGUCGUUUUG
ensembl:lncRNA